rnacentral:rRNA from 1 species
GUGCCAGCAGCCGCGGUAAUACGUAGGUGGCAAGCGUUGUCCGGAUUUAUUGGGCGUAAAGCGAGCGCAGGCGGUUUCUUAAGUCUGAUGUGAAAGCCCCCGGCUCAACCGGGGAGGGUCAUUGGAAACUGGGAGACUUGAGUGCAGAAGAGGAGAGUGGAAUUCCAUGUGUAGCGGUGAAAUGCGUAGAUAUAUGGAGGAACACCAGUGGCGAAGGCGGCUCUCUGGUCUGUAACUGACGCUGAGGCUCGAAAGCGUGGGGAGCGAACAGGAUUAGAUACCCUGGUAGUCCACGCCGUAAACGAUGAGUGCUAAGUGUUGGAGGGUUUCCGCCCUUCAGUGCUGCAGCAAACGCAUUAAGCACUCCGCCUGGGGAGUACGACCGCAAGGUUGAAACUCAAAGGAAUUGACGGGGGCCCGCACAAGCGGUGGAGCAUGUGGUUUAAUUCGAAGCAACGCGAAGAACCUUACCAGGUCUUGACAUCCUUUGACCACUCUAGAGAUAGAGCUUCCCCUUCGGGGGCAAAGUGACAGGUGGUGCAUGGUUGUCGUCAGCUCGUGUCGUGAGAUGUUGGGUUAAGUCCCGCAACGAGCGCAACCCUUAUUGUUAGUUGCCAUCAUUUGGUUGGGCACUCUAGCGAGACUGCCGGUGACAAACCGGAGGAAGGUGGGGAUGACGUCAAAUCAUCAUGCCC